ACGGCUCAGUAACACGUGGACAACCUACCCUAAGGAGGGGGAUAACCCCGGGAAACUGGGGAUAAUACCCCAUAGAUUAUGGAUGCUGGAAUGCUCUGUAGUCCAAAGGUCAGCCGCCAUAGGAUGGGUCUGCGGCCGAUUAGGUUGUUGUUGGGGUAACGGCCCAACAAGCCUGUAAUCGGUACGGGUUGUGGGAGCAAGAGCCCGGAGAUGGAUUCUGAGACACGAAUCCAGGCCCUACGGGGCGCAGCAGGCGCGAAAACUUUACAAUGCGAGAAAUCGUGAUAAGGGAACUCCGAGUGCCCGUAAAAUCGGGCUGUUAAUCUGUUUAAAUAACAGGUUGAGAAAGGGCCGGGCAAGACCGGUGCCAGCCGCCGCGGUAAUACCGGCGGCUCGAGUGGUGGCCACUAUUACUGGGCUUAAAGCGUUCGUAGCUGGUCUGUUAAGUCUCUGGGGAAAUCUUCCGGCUUAACCGGAAGGCGUCUCAGGGAUACUGGCAGACUAGGGACCGAGAGAGGUGAGGGGUACUCCAGGGGUAGGAGUGAAAUCCUGUAAUCCUUGGGGGACCACCUGUGGCGAAGGCGCCUCACCAGAACGGCUCCGACAGUGAGUAACGAAAGCUGGGGGAGCAAACCGGAUUAGAUACCCGGGUAGUCCCAGCUGUAAACGAUGCGCGUUAGGUGUAUCGGUGACCACGAGUCACCGAGGUGUCGAAGAGAAAUCGUGAAACGUGCCGCCUGGGA
rnacentral:rRNA from 1 species